rnacentral:rRNA from 1 species
GACGAACGCUGGCGGCGUGCUUAACACAUGCAAGUCGAACGGAAAGGCCCUGCUUUUGUGGGGUGCUCGAGUGGCGAACGGGUGAGUAACACGUGAGUAACCUGCCCUUGACUUUGGGAUAACUUCAGGAAACUGGGGCUAAUACCGGAUAGGAGCUCCUGCUGCAUGGUGGGGGUUGGAAAGUUUCGGCGGUUGGGGAUGGACUCGCGGCUUAUCAGCUUGUUGGUGGGGUAGUGGCUUACCAAGGCUUUGACGGGUAGCCGGCCUGAGAGGGUGACCGGCCACAUUAGGACUGAGAUACGGCCCAGACUCCUACGGGAGGCAACAGUGGGGAAUAUUGCACAGUGGGCGGAAGCCUGAUGCAGCAACGCCGCGUGCGGGAUGACGGCCUUCGGGUUGUAAACCGCUUUCGCCUGUGACGAGGCGUGAGUGACGGUAAUGGGUAAGGAAGCACCGGCUAACUACGUG